CUCAAGAUCUUUCCUUCUCUAGAACCCUAAACCCUACGUUCUCUCCCUUCCCAAUCCAACCCAAAGCCCUAGCCCUUAAACCCCGAUUGCUAUCUACUGUAUCGCUUUCCCGCCGGAAUGCCUCUUCUCGAGGAGAAAUACGUGCAUUCGCCGGCCGGAGCAAGAAGAAACCCGGAGGGACCUCCCCGGGUAGAAUCGAGGGGAACCCUGAGUACCUGC
rnacentral:misc_RNA from 1 species